UACAGAGGUCCCAAGCGUUGUUCGGAUUCAUUGGGCGUAAAGGGUGCGUAGGUGGCGUCGUAAGUCGGGUGUGAAAUCUCGGGGCUUAACUCCGAAACUGCAUUCGAUACUGCGGUGCUUGAGGACUGGAGAGGGGACUGGAAUUUACGGUGUAGCAGUGAAAUGCGUAGAGAUCGUAAGGAAGACCAGUGGCGAAGGCGGGUCUCUGGACAGUUCCUGACACUGAGGCACGAAGGCCAGGGGAGCAAACGGG
rnacentral:rRNA from 1 species